ACAGAGAAUUAAAAACCUGCUGGUCUCCACAACACUGACUGACAACAUUGAUCAGACUCCGAUCUUUCUUUGUCUACCUGAAUGAAGACCCGACCAGUCUAAUUAAAGAGUAUUUGGAUACAGAUGCACCCAGUACCCAGGAGGCGAUCCAGAAGAUGGUAAUGGGAGUGCUUGUUGUAAAAAUGUAUGGUUCAGACAUCGAAGACAGCCCAGCAGAUGUUGGAGUGUUAUUAAAGGGAUUAAGAGUUCUCGGACCUCAACAACAUUGUGUAUGCAACAACCAUGCUGAUGGGACUGAAAUAUGAACUGAACUUGAGCUACUUUCCCAAAUUCAGGUACACUUUUGAAGUAUUGCAGUUGUUGUUUCUGGAGCUAGAUGGGAAGUAACUAUCUCAUAAAGUUCAGACGCUGAAGACCAAGCCUUUUGCAGAUGUUUUGAGAAAGGAAUGUUUUAAUAUUUCAUAUGUAAAUGCCAUGUUUUUGAAAUGGCAGUACAAUAACAUUCAGGAAGUAAGCAGUGUCGUCAAUUUAUUUUGAUAGUUUUGCAGUGUGUUUCUAUUUAAUUAGAUUAAUGUAGAGUUGUUUAAAGCUUUGGCUGUACGUAAAUGGUCCUGCAUCUAAUUUGUCAUGGAAUGUUAACGUUUAUAAUGUUUUUACAGUACCAUUUAACUUAAAAUUAUACCAAAGUUGUUGAAAAAUCUUUGGAAGUCGCAUGUGCCAGCUCUCUGAAUGGAGAGCAACCUAUUUUGUCAGUUAGCAUUACAGUUGUGUAAUAAUGUUGUUUAAUUAUACGUAUCCAGGGGCUUGAAAAAACUGCCUGAAUGGUGCUUCGUGCAUUUCAUUUGUCAGUAAGUGUAAAAAAUUGUAAUGUUAUAAGGUAACAUUGUAAUAUCCAAAGUCCUUGAAAAACUUUGCAAGUUUUUCAAGUUGAUGAGUGCAUCUCAUUUGUCGGUAUAUCCUUUACGGUAUCUGUAGUUUAAGUGCAAUAAACAUGGCUUGAAGAACUGGUGUCUGAGAAUCUUUUAUGAAUAAAAUGAAUGUUAUAUAGAGUUUAUUACAAAAAGUAUAUUUUUGUGUGUGAUUUAACUUGAAAUAGAAAUUGUUGUGUUAAAGUAAAUAAAAGUAAUUGGAUGGAACCACUGUCCACAAUGUAAAUGAGUUGUAUGAAUAAACUACUCUUGAUUUGGACAAGCAAAAAAUAUUUGAUUAGUUUGUACAAGUUA